GCCCCGGGGAACCGGCAGCGUGGCUUCGUGGCUCUGCCCCAGGCUGGAACUGCGCGGGAUGCAAACGCGCGCGCUGCUGCGACUGCUCUCCGGCUCCUUUCCCCCACAGUUCUCCGCGCGCCUCACCUUCACGGAGUCCACCGGGUACAUGAUGGAGUGCUCCAGAAUCCCGGCCAUCGCUCCCGCUGUCAUGUGGGUGGACACCGAGGCGCUGGUCGCUGUCAUAGAGAAUCCUUGCUGGCCCCCUUCCAGCUUCUGGAAGCUCCCUGCCACCUCAAUGUUCUUCGUAUGAGGUCAGAAAGCAAGAAAGACAACGGAGGAACAAGCCACUCCCUGGCAGCAGAGGCCUGGGAGCAGAGAUCUCUGUAUAAGAGAGCCCACUCUCCACCUACAGGCAGAGCACUGAAAACAUUCCUUCUUUGGCCAUUGCUAAGAGUAGCAAAGCAGUAAGUAUGUCUCCAGGAGAUGUGUUGGCUCCCCUGCAACUACCCAUCUAUAGCAUCUAGACGGAAACAAGGUAUGGUGGAAAGAAAGCAGCACUGCUUCUUACUCAUGGGAUACUCAAGGCUUGAAUAAGUGCCUCCAUCUCUCUGGACCAUAUUCCUGU
rnacentral:lncRNA from 1 species